rnacentral:lncRNA from 1 species
CAUGAACAUAGACACAUGCAGAGGCUGCAGGAAUUCAGGCCAAUUGUGAUACUCUGUGAUACUCACAAAUUUGGGUCACUCUCUCAAUUAGUUUAGCUCCUCAUCUGUGUGAGUACAGAAACAAAAGCUACUUGGAGGCCUUGUGGGUUGGCAGAGCAUCUUAAAAUACCCUCCUAAAGAGGCAGAGCUGCAAAUUCAAAACAGACUUUCAAAAUAAACUCAGCAGGGCAGCACUCCGGGGGUGCUUCCAGAGCCAGCCCCCACCUCCACCCCCAGUUCUCAGUUCUAGGUAUCUGAAACUGCAGUACCCUUAGCUGUUACAAUCCUCCUCUCCCCCAGGAGCCUGAUGCUCCCUGGAGGAAUCAAUCAUUCUGCAAUACAUCUGAGAUUUCUACCAGUCCAGAUGCAAGCUUUCACAAACCCAACACACCCGCCGUCUUCUUCUAGAGCUGUUCAGAGAAUUCCACUUCUAGUCCUCAUGAAUCUGGCAAUUGAGACCUUGGAGAAGCUUGGUAAAUGGCUCUGAGACUAAGGAGAAACUAUAUGCUCUGCAAUUCUGAAGCUGCUCUUGUCAGACGGCAUGUUUUAGAUUGUGCUGAAAUGGCUAAGUUUUCCCUAAGUUGGCAAAAAAAGAAAUCCAUUCCAUGUGGCUGGAAUCAGGCCCACUGAGAUUUUCACCAAGGGCAAAAAUACCUUGCAUGUGUAUCAAAAGCAGUUGGAUGAAACUGGCUCUAUUUUUCUCCAGCAACACCAUCAGACUAACGGC